GGCCCGCGUUAGAUUAGUUAGUUGGUGGGGUAAUGGCCUACCAAGACUACGAUCUAUAGCUGGUUUGAGAGGAUGAUCAGCAACACUGGGACUGAGACACGGCCCAGACUCCUACGGGAGGCAGCAGUGGGGAAUCUUAGACAAUGGGGGCAACCCUGAUCUAGCGAUGCCGCGUGAGUGAUGAAGGCCUUAGGGUCGUAAAGCUCUUUCGCCUGUGAUGAUAAUGACAGUAGCAGGUAAAGAAACCCCGGCUAACUCCGUGCCAGCAGCCGCGGUAAUACGGAGGGGGUUAGCGUUGUUCGGAAUUACUGGGCGUAAAGCGCACGUAGGCGGAUUAGUCAGUCAGAGGUGAAAUCCCAGGGCUCAACCCUGGAACUGCCUUUGAUACUGCUAGUCUUGAGUUCGAGAGAGGUAAGUGGAAUUCCGAGUGUAGAGGUGAAAUUCGUAGAUAUUCGGAGGAACACCAGUGGCGAAGGCGGCUUACUGGCUCGAUACUGACGCUGAGGUGCGAAAGUGUGGGGAGCAAACAGGAUUAGAUACCCUGGUAGUCCACACCGUAAACGAUGAAUGCCAGUCGUCGGGUAGCAUGCUAUUCGGUGACACACCUAACGGAUUAAGCAUUCCGCCUGGGGAGUACGGUCGCAAGAUUAAAACUCAAAGGAAUUGACGGG
rnacentral:rRNA from 1 species